CUGUGUUCUCUGCUUCACUGGGGUUAAAGAUUACAGAGAUAGCUGAGAAUCAGACAAGAAGCAGCAACAAAGCAACUGAGACAAACUGCAGACACCCAGGCAGGAGCAUCUCAUUAUGAGCAAAAGGUCAGUGAUGAGUCCUCAUCAGCCCUCUUUCACCACUCAGACGGCUGCUAUCGAUUCCUCUCACCUUGGACCAAAGGCUUCGAGCACAAACCGCUCCGACUCGACUCACAACGGAACGGAUGAACCAGAGAAGCACCGAGUCAGCGGAACACGAGGCCACAGCUUGUCAUUAUUCCUGUUUGUUUCACUGCAGAGCGAUCAAAGAUAACACUCAGAGGAGGCUGUCGAUGUGAGCGCUUCAGCUGUAUGAAUCUUUUAUUGUUUCUGUAACCUCUGGUGUCGCAUAGUCUGCACGCUGAGCUGUUAUUCACAACCGUCUCUUAGAGGUUCAUCUGAACAGAAAACUCAAAGACUGAAUGUGCAGACGCUCGCCUAAAAUGAUAAUGCAACAAAAC
ensembl:lncRNA